GUGGAUUAGAUACCCUGGUAGUCCACGCCCUAAACUAUGUCAACUAGUUGUCGGGGAAGCAAUUUCUUGGUAACGAAGCUAACGCGUGAAGUUGACCGCCUGGGGAGUACGGUCGCAAGAUUAAAACUCAAAGGAAUUGACGGGGGCCCGCACAAGCGGUGGAUGAUGUGGAUUAAUUCGAUGCAACGCGAAAAACCUUACCUACCCUUGACAUGCCCGGGAGGCCGAUGAAAGUUGGCUGUGCUCGAAAGAGAGCCGGGACACAGGUGCUGCACGGCUGUCGUCAGCU
rnacentral:rRNA from 1 species